UACGGAGGUUUUGCCCUUGCUUUAUUACAGUCGCGAGGCUUUUUCCGCAUGCAGGUAGAGAGAGAGAGAGGGAGAGAGAUGAAAAGAAAGCCUCAUUUCUUCAAAGUGCUGUUGGGGGAUUUCUCGCAUUCUCUGCGGAUACCUCCUGCCUUUGUGAAAUAUAUUGCAAAAGAAGUAUCUCAAAGAGCCAUUCUAAAGGGUCCUAGUGGUAGGAUUUGGCAUGUGGAGUUAUGUAAAAGGACCAGUGGCACAUAUCUGCAGAAUGGUUGGCAGGAAUUUGUAAAGGACCAUUCAUUACAGGAAUAUGAAUUUCUAGUCUUCAGAUAUGAUGGCGAUGUGCAUUUCACCGUGCAAAUUUUUGAUCGAACUGCAUGCGAGAAAAAAGACGUUCUUACUAUGAAAACUCCCACAGAAUCGACCAGCAAAGAAAGCAAGAAACGAGGUAGGGAGGAGGAGAAUUCUUUGGAUUCCAGUAAAUUCUCUCACCGUAAAGCUCACAAAAGUGAAACAGAGAAGCAUGAAAUUGCGUGUGUGCAUGCACCACAACAUUCGUUCAGAGAUGAUUAUAUCGAUGCUAUUCAAGGCCUACAUACACCUCCAAAAUCUGAUGGGUUUGUGAAGAUCAAAACAGAGGAUGUUGAAUUGCCCAUAUCUGGAAUUGCUUCACCGGCUGUGAAAGUUGAUUUUUCACCAAGAAUGCAGCUCCCAGCUUCUGAAAAGGCCGACUCUUUUACUUCCAAAUUUCCGUAUUUCAUAACACAGUUGAGAAUGUUCAAUGUGCGCACGACAUUGGUACUGCACAUACCAAUUAGCUUCUCGAGGCUAUAUCUUCCUACAGAGAGAACCACACUGCUUGUCCGAGAUCCGACUGGGAGGCCGUGGGAAGUGAACUACCUCUAUAGAAAUGGAAGAGGCUUCUUGUCUGGUGGGUGGCCUGCCUUUUCACGCAGUAACAGUCUUAAAAAAGGAGAUUUCUGUGCAUUUGAGCUGGUGGGUCAGAAGGAAAUACAAGUGCACAUCUUCCGCUUGGUCGAAGAAAUCAUGCCGUUGAUCAAAGUGUCCGAGCCAAUGUAACUAUGCUACUGAUCGCAGUGGCUCAUAUAUAUAACCUCCCACAAUACCAUAGUUUCGUUCUGGCGAUGGACGGUCCAACUACACUGCAAAAGCUGUGUAUCUCAGUGUCUUUCUGCUUCCACAGAAUCCAAACAGUGCAUCUGGAGAGAUUCCUCAUGGGCACCAUACAUCCAAAUCCCUGUCAGAAACUCAAGUGGGACACACCACAGGGAGCAAUGUACAAUCAUGCCUAUAGACUGUAUAUUCACUUGUUUUGGCCCACCUAAGUUUUGUAAAAUCUUUGAGUUUCAGUGUCCCUUAA